rnacentral:rRNA from 1 species
UACGUAGGACCCAAGCGUUAUCCGGAGUGACUGGGCGUAAAGAGUUGCGUAGGUGGUUAGUAAAGUGAAUAGUGAAACCUGGUGGCUCAACCAUACAGACUAUUAUUCAAACUCACUAACUCGAGAAUGGUAGAGGUAACUGGAAUUUCUAGUGUAGGAGUGAAAUCCGUAGAUAUUAGAAGGAACACCAAUGGCGUAGGCAGGUUACUGGACCAUUUCUGACACUGAGGCACGAAAGCGUGGGGAGCGAACCGG